rnacentral:rRNA from 1 species
CCUACGGGAGGCAGCAGUGGGGAAUAUUGCGCAAUGGGCGAAAGCCUGACGCAGCGACGCCGCGUGAGGGAUGAAGGUCUUCGGAGCGGAAACCUCUGUCAGCAGGGAAGAAAGGUCACGGGGCUAAGCAGCAGUGAAUGGACGGUACCGGCAAAGGAAGCACGGGCUAACGCCGUGCCAGCAGCCGCGGUAAGACGGAGGGGGCGAUCGUGAAUCGGAAUUACUGGGCGGAAAGCGCUCGUAGGCGGGAUGUCAAGUCAAGGGUGAAAUCCCCGCGCGCAACGUGGGAACUGCCUUUGACACUGGCAAACUGGAGUGUGUGAGAGGAUAGUGUAAUUCCCGGUGU